rnacentral:rRNA from 1 species
AAUGAACGUUGGCGGCGUGGAUUAGGCAUGCAAGUCGUGCGGAAAGGCUCCUUCGGGAGUACUCGAGCGGCGAAAGGGAGAGUAACGCGUGGAUAUCUACCCCCUGGUUUGGGAUAGCGGCGGGAAACUGCCGGUAAUACCAGAUAAUGUCUGCGGACCAAAGGUGUGAUUCCGCCGGGGGAUGAGUCCGCGUCCUAUUAGCUUGUUGGUGAGGUAAUGGCUCACCAAGGCUUAGAUGGGUACCGGGUGUGAGAGCAUGGCCCGGCUCACUGGGACUGAGACACUGCCCAGACACCUACGGGUGGCUG